AACGAACGCUGGCGGCAUGCCUAACACAUGCAAGUCGAACGAGACCUUCGGGUCUAGUGGCGCACGGGUGCGUAACGCGUGGGAACCUGCCCUUAGGUUCGGAAUAACUCCCCGAAAGGGGUGCUAAUACCGGAUAAUGUCUUCGGACCAAAGAUUUAUCGCCUUUGGAUGGGCCCGCGUUGGAUUAGCUAGUUGGUAGGGUAAAAGCCUACCAAGGCGACGAUCCAUAGCUGGUCUGAGAGGAUGAUCAGCCACACUGGGACUGAGACACGGCCCAGACUCCUACGGGAGGCAGCAGUGGGGAAUAUUGGAAAAGGGGCGAAAGCCUGAUCCACCACUGCCGCGUGAGUGAUGAAGGCCUUAGGGUUGUAAAGCUCUUUUACCCGGGAUGAUAAUGACAGUACCGGGAGAAUAAGCGCCGGCUAACUCCGUG
rnacentral:rRNA from 1 species